rnacentral:rRNA from 1 species
UACGUAGGGGGCAAGCGUUGUCCGGAAUUAUUGGGCGUAAAGCGCGUGUAGGCGGCCCGGUAAGUCCGCUGUGAAAGUCGGGGGCUCAACCCUCGAAUGCCGGUGGAUACUGUCGGGCUAGAGUGCGGAAGAGGCGAGUGGAAUUCCUGGUGUAGCGGUGAAAUGCGCAGAUAUCGAGAGGAACACCUGCGGCGAAGGCGGGUUGCUGGGCUGACACUGACGCUGAGGCGCGAAAGCUAGGGGAGCGAACGGG